UUAGAUUAGGUAGUUGGUGGGGUAACGGCCUACCAAGGCCUACGAUCUAUAGCUGGUUUUAGAGGAUGUCAGCAACACUGGGAGUGAGACACGGCCCAGACUCCUACGGGAGGCAGCAGCAGUGGGGAAUCUUAGACAAUGGGGGCAACCCUCUAGCCAUGCCGCGAGAGUGAUGAAGGCCUUAGGGUCGUAAAGCUCUUUCGCCUGUGAUGAUAAUGACAGUAGCAGGCAAACACA
rnacentral:rRNA from 1 species